AGAGAAUGAUGACAUCUGCAAACAAAGACACUAUUGUGACACUUUCUUCCCUAUCUAUGCAGCUUAUAUUUUUCUUGCCAAUAUGCUAGCUAGGACUUCCUGCACAACUGUUGGCAGGAAUUCAAGCUAAGGAGGGCGAAGAGACCACAGAGACUCAAGAGGAUUUAUUGGUGCUAACGCCUGUUAUGCCACCAGCCCUGAACAAAGAGAAUGGAUUCUUUUAUACAAUUUGAGAUCUCCUUUUGGAUGUCUCACCCAUUCAAAACUCCUUUUGAACAUGAACAGAAGAUGGGACACACAAUUUCACGUAGCUCAAAGCAGAAUGGGAGCUCAUACCAGCCUCAGAGUAUCAUACUGCUAAGUCAGUGGAGACCACUUAAUUGAUUAAUUCGUUGUUUCAGGAAUUUAGCCACAUUGCAGGG
rnacentral:lncRNA from 13 species